GUGCCAGCAGCCGCGGUAAUACGUAGGUGGCAAGCGUUGUCCGGAAUUAUUGGGCGUAAAGCGCGCGCAGGCGGUUCUUUAAGUCUGAUGUGAAAGCCCACGGCUCAACCGUGGAGGGUCAUUGGAAACUGGGGAACUUGAGUGCAGAAGAGGAAAGUGGAAUUCCAAGUGUAGCGGUGAAAUGCGUAGAGAUUUGGAGGAACACCAGUGGCGAAGGCGACUUUCUGGUCUGUAACUGACGCUGAGGCGCGAAAGCGUGGGGAGCAAACAGGAUUAGAUACCCUGGUAGUCC
rnacentral:rRNA from 1 species